UUCGUUCACGACGUCGAUAUUCCCGGGAGAAGUUCCUUCUUCAAAGAGGAAGGGACACUUCAUUUCCUUCGGGGGGCACACGAAGGAAGACAUCGUCAAAAUAUUUUCCCCCAGAGUUGACACGGUAUACUCAAUGCCCCGCCGCCAAGAGCACUUCAACGUCACCUCCUCCAGCUCCAGCUCUCCCCGGCGGUCCGUGAACGCCCCCUGCCGACGUGCGCCCGACGACAAGCGCUGUGAUCGUCGCAGUGAUGUUAGCUAACUGCUGCUGUCACUAAAAGAUGUUCUCCCUCCGGGUUCUUCCUCCCUCUCGCUCUUUCCUCUAAGGCAAACGAUCCUAAUCUCGCGGAUGUUCACAUUCAGCUGCUGACCUCUGACCCCUCUUCAAAGUUUUCUGUCGCGAGGAUCCGGUCAACACGCAGAUGGGCUCAGAGGGCAGGGGCAGUGGAGGUCGUUAUCCCUGCAGGUCGCAGGUGGCAGUAUGAACUUCUGUACAGGAUGGAAUCAGUAACCAUGUUCCCACCGGUUUCUUGA
rnacentral:lncRNA from 1 species